CGCGAGAUAGAGCAGCGGUAGCUCGUCGGGCUCAUAACCCGAAGGUCACAGGUUCGAUCCCUGUUCUCGCUACCA
rnacentral:tRNA from 1 species